rnacentral:rRNA from 1 species
GAUGAACGCUGGCGGCGUGCCUAAUACAUGCAAGUCGAGCGAACAGAUGAGAAGCUUGCUUCUCUGAUGUUAGCGGCGGACGGGUGAGUAACACGUGGGUAACCUACCUAUAAGACUGGGAUAACUCCGGGAAACCGGGGCUAAUACCGGAUAAUAUUUUGAACCGCAUGGUUCAAUAGUGAAAGACGGUUUCGGCUGUCACUUAUAGAUGGACCCGCGCCGUAUUAGCUAGUUGGUAAGGUAACGGCUUACCAAGGCGACGAUACGUAGCCGACCUGAGAGGGUGAUCGGCCACACUGGAACUGAGACACGGUCCAGACUCCUACGGGAGGCAGCAGUAGGGAAUCUUCCGCAAUGGGCGAAAGCCUGACGGAGCAACGCCGCGUGAGUGAUGAAGGUCUUCGGAUCGUAAAACUCCGUUGUUAGGGAAGAACAAAUUUGUUAGUAACUGGACAAGUCUUGACGGUACCUAACCAGAAAGCCACGGCUAACUACGUGCCAGCCGCCGCGGUAA